rnacentral:piRNA from 2 species
GCACUUUGUAAAGGGUCUGGAACUGAGC